rnacentral:rRNA from 1 species
AACUGGCCUCUAAUGU